GAUGAACGCUGGCGGCGUGCCUAAUACAUGCAAGUCGAGCGAACAGAUGAGGAGCUUGCUCCUCUGACGUUAGCGGCGGACGGGUGAGUAACACGUGGAUAACCUACCUAUAAGACUGGGAUAACUUCGGGAAACCGGAGCUAAUACCGGAUAAUAUAUUGAACCGCAUGGUUCAAUAGUCAAAGACGGUUUUGCUGUCACUUAUAGAUGGAUCCGCGCCGCAUUAGCUAGUUGGUAAGGUAACGGCUUACCAAGGCAACGAUGCGUAGCCGACCUGAGAGGGUGAUCGGCCACACUGGAACUGAGACACGGUCCAGACUCCUACGGGAGGCAGCAGUAGGGAAUCUUCCGCAAUGGGCGAAAGCCUGACGGAGCAACGCCGCGUGAGUGAUGAAGGUCUUCGGAUCGUAAAACUCUGUUAUUAGGGAGGAACAAAUGUGUAAGUAACUAUGCACGUCUUGACGGUACCUAAUCAGAAAGCCACGGCUAACUACGUG
rnacentral:rRNA from 1 species